rnacentral:rRNA from 1 species
CCUACGGGAGGCAGCAGUCGGGAAUAUUGCGCAAUGGAGGAAACUCUGACGCAGUGACGCCGCGUGCAGGAAGAAGGUUUUCGGAUUGUAAACUGCUUUAGACAGGGAAGAAACAAGACAGUACCUGAAGAAAAAGCUCCGGCUAACUACGUGCCAGCAGCCGCGGUAAUACGUAGGGAGCGAGCGUUGUCCGGAAUUACUGGGUGUAAAGGGAGCGUAGGCGGGACGGCAAGUCAGAUGUGAAAACUGAGGGCUCAACCUUCAGACUGCAUUUGAAACUGCUGUUCUUGAGUGAAGUAGAGGUA